rnacentral:tRNA from 1 species
GUUUUAAUAAUUUAAUUAAAAUAUUAAUCUUGUAAAUUAAAAAUGAAUCAUUCUUAAAACA